rnacentral:rRNA from 1 species
UUAAAAAGCUCGUAGUUGGAUUUCGGCGAUCAGGGGCCGGUGAUUAUUGUAUCUACUGGCCAUUUGGUCUAUUUUUGAAAGAGGUUUGGGGUCCCUUCACUGGGUGUCCUAGUCCUUUCAGGUUUACUUUGAAAAAAUUAGAGUGCUCAAAGCAGGCUUUAACGCUUGAAUAUUCGUGCAUGGAAUAAUAGAAUAGGAAGUUCGUUUCUAUUUUGUUGGUUUUAGGAUAACGACUUAAUGAUUAAUAGGGACAAUCGGGGGAAUUAGUAUUCAAACGACAGAGGUGAAAUUCUUGGACCGUUUUGAAAGACUAACUACUGCCAAAGCAUUU